rnacentral:rRNA from 1 species
UCCGGUUGAUCCUGCCGGACCUGACUGCUAUCGGAUUGAUACUAAGCCAUGCUAGUCUUUGUAGUAAUACAAGGCAUACGGCUCAGUAACGCGUAGUCAACCUACCCUAUGGACGGGGAUAAUCUCGGGAAACUGAGCAUAAUACCCGGCAGACCACUUAUCCUGGAAUGGUUAGUGGUUAAAAUGAUUCGUCGCCAUAGGAUGGGACUGCGGCCUAUCAGCUUGUUGGUGAGGUAAUGGCCCACCAAGGCGAUUACAGGUACGGGCUCUGAGAGGAGAGGCCCGGAGAUGGGUACUGAGACAAGGACCCAGGCCCUAUGGGGCGCAGCAGGCGAGAAAACUUUGCAAUGUGCGAAAGCACGACAAGGUUAAUCCGAGUGAUUUCUGCUAAAGGAAUCUUUUGUUAGUUCUAAAAAUACUAGUGAAUAAGGGGUGGGCAAGUUCUGGUGUCAGCCGCCGCGGUAAAACCAGCACCUCAAGUGGUCAGGAGGAUUAUUGGGCCUAAAGCAUCCGUAGCCUGUUCUAUAAGUUUGCGGUUAAAUCUAUACGCUCAACGUAUAGGCUGCCGUAAAUACUGUAGAACUAGGGAGUGGGAGAGGUAGACGGUACUCGAUAGGAAGGGGUAAAAUCCUUUGAUCUAUUGAUGACCACCUGUGGCGAAGGCGGUCUACCAGAACACGUUCGACGGUGAGGGAUGAAAGCUGGGGGAGCAAACCGGAUUAGAUACCCGGGUAGUCCCAGCUGUAAACGAUGCAGACUCGAUGAUGCAAUGGCAUAGAGCUAUUGCAGUAUCGCAGGGAAGCCGUUAAGUCUGCCGCCUGGGAAGUACGUACGCAAGUAUGAAACUUAAAGGAAUUGGCGGGGGAGCACCACAAGGGGUGAAGCCUGCGGUUCAAUUGGAGUCAACGCCGGA